GCACUCAGUACUCCCUCUUUCUUCCUUCAGCUUUCCCUGCGUGAAGCCAUUUUCAUCGCCCGUCGCCGGUUGUACUUACAGAGUGAAGCCAUUUUCAUCUUCACUCUGAAAGUAAUGCAAAUCCUCCAAACCUCUCACUUCCUCCCACUCUCUCUCCUCCCUAAAACCCCUCUUAAACCCGCAAUUCCCAUUUUCCAUAACCCUAAUUUCCACCCCAGUUUCUCUCAACUCUCUUCUUCCUCUCCCCUUCUCUCAAUUCCCCCCAAAUCCUACGCUUCUGAUGAAUUCCCGGUCAACGAGACAUUCCUCGAGCAAUUCGGCCCAAAAGACACCGAAACCUAGGAAGAAGCACAAAAGCGGAACUGGGUCGAACAAGGUUGGGCGCCAUGGGAGGAGAUUUUGCUACCUUGCUCGACCAUCUGGGUGGAUUUUGCAUCUUCUAUUUUGCAGUUUUAGAUCUGGCUUUAGUCGAUGUAGAUGAGAUUCGGCAUUUGAAAUUCAAUCAGGAGUUCAUGAAGAACUACUUAGGCUCCUAACAGAUCUAUCCUCUAGAAUCGGAGUUUCAUUUCAUUUCAGGAUAUGUAUCUCAGUCCCUUUCAUAACGAACCGACAAGGACAACGCACACGGAUGGCCACUUAUUUUACUACCAAUAGCUUCAGUUUCUGAUAAGACUCCUUUCUUAAUAUAUCACCGUAUAAGGUCUACACUCCGAGGAAUGCGUCUUAUGCUAGUGAGGAAAUUGAUGUGGUUCGUGAGGAAUGGGCUAAGUUUUUUACCAGCAAGUAUUUAUAAUUGGCCUGAGCGCGCUUGAUCGAGUUGGUUUAGUUGUUAUAGAACAAUCUUUUAUAUUAAAAUGUAUGUGUUCGUUGAAAUUGGAACAUAUAUUUAAAUGUAAU